AGUUUACCGGGAUGAUGAAGAUGAUGGUGAUGCUGGUGGUGGGGUGGUAAUAAUCGUCAUCAUCGUCGUCAUCAUCAUCAUCAUCAGCC
rnacentral:pre_miRNA from 1 species